rnacentral:rRNA from 1 species
GACGAACGCUGGCGGCGCGCCUAACACAUGCAAGUCGAACGGACGAGAUUGGUGCUUGCACCGAUUGAGUUAGUGGCGGACGGGUGAGUAACGCGUGAGUAACCUGCCUUUUAGAGGGGGAUAACGUCUGGAAACGGACGCUAAUACCGCAUAACAUGGAGAUAUCGCAUGAUAUUUUCAUCAAAGGAGCAAUCCGCUAAGAGAUGGACUCGCGUCCAAUUAGCUAGUUGGUGAGGUAACGGCUCACCAAGGCGACGAUUGGUAGCCGGACUGAGAGGUUGAACGGCCACAUUGGGACUGAGACACGGCCCAGACUCCUACGGGAGGCAGCAGUGGGGAAUAUUGCACAAUGGGGGAAACCCUGAUGCAGCGACGCCGCGUGAGGGAAGAAGGUUUUCGGAUUGUAAACCUCUGUCCUUGGUGAAGAAAAUGACUGUAGCCAAGGAGGAAGCCACGGCUAACUACGUGCCAGCAGCCGCGGUAAUACGUAGGUGGCAAGCGUUGUCCGGAAUUACUGGGUGUAAAGGGAGCGUAGGCGGGAAUGCAAGUUGAAUGUUAAAACUACAGGCUCAACCUGUAGUCGCGUUCAAAACUGUAUUUCUUGAGUGAAGUAGAGGUAGGCGGAAUUCCUAGUGUAGCGGUGAAAUGCGUAAAUAUUAGGAGGAACACCAGUGGCGAAGGCGGCCUACUGGGCUUUAACUGACGCUGAGGCUCGAAAGCGUGGGUAGCAAACAGGAUUAGAUACCCUGGUAGUCCACGCUGUAAACGAUGAUUACUAGGUGUGGGGGGGACUGACCCCUUCCGUGCCGGAGUUAACACAAUAAGUAAUCCACCUGGGGAGUACGACCGCAAGGUUGAAACUCAAAGGAAUUGACGGGGGCCCGCACAAGCAGUGGAGUAUGUGGUUUAAUUCGAAGCAACGCGAAAAACCUUACCAGGUCUUGACAUCUCCUGCAUAGCCUAGAGAUAGGUGAAGUUCUUCGGAACAGGAUGACAGGUGGUGCAUGGUUGUCGUCAGCUCGUGUCGUGAGAUGUUGGGUUAAGUCCCGCAACGAGCGCAACCCUUACGAGUAGUUGCUACGCAAGAGCACUCUACUAGGACUGCCGUUGACAAAACGGAGGAAGGUGGGGAUGACGUCAAAUCAUCAUGCCCCUUAUGACCUGGGCUACACACGUACUACAAUGGCUAUUAACAGAGGGAAGCGAGAUAGUGAUAUGGAGCAAAUCCCCAAAAAUAGUCUCAGUUCGGAUUGUAGGCUGCAACUCGCCUACAUGAAGCCGGAAUUGCUAGUAAUCGCGGAUCAGCAUGCCGCGGUGAAUACGUUCCCGGGCCU